rnacentral:lncRNA from 1 species
AUUUUUUUGUCUUCAUUCUUUCUCUAAGCUCUAGUUAUCUCCCCUCACCAGCAUCUCCUUAUCUUCCUUUCCUUGACACACAUCUCCAUCUCUCACACACCCUAUUUCCAGGGAUUCCAUUCUGCCAAAAUUUCAACUCAGGCUAUACAAAUCCAAAUGCAGUAAAGAUAUUCUUCCAAACAUUAUGAAGAAAGAUGUGAUUAAAAGCAUUCACUAAAGGGGUGCCUGGAUGGCUCAUUUGGGUAAGUGUCUGACUCUUGAUUUCAGCUCAGGUCUUGAUCUCAUGGUCGUGGAAUUGAGCCCUGCAAUGGGCUCUAUGCUGACAGUCGGACCCUGCUUGGGAUUCUCUCUCUCUCCUCUCCCCACCAACUGCCUGGAUCACACACACACACUGUUUCUCAAAAUAAAUAAAUGAACUUAAAAAAAAAAGGCAUUCGGUAAACAAUGAGUUCUAAAAUCUCAGGAGGAGAUGGUGGCAAAGAGGAACCAGAACAUUAAGAUCUCAAAUCUGUGAAGGUUUUUUUAUUUGUUCAAAUCUCAUUGUUCCUUAAUCCUUCUCCUAUUCUUACAACUCUCUGAAAAAAUCUUCAGUAAAACUACCCACCCUAAGAGAAGAUAGAAAGAAAAGCAGGAGGAGGAGCCAUUCUGUAUUAACAAGAAAAUGACAUUUGGAGGUAGAGGAGCAGAUCUGGGGUCUUUGCACCCAGGUAACAACCUAAAAAAACUGUCCACGGGAACUCAUAAUCAAGCACAACUCUAUGCUGCUAGAUGUGACAAAUGGGGGACAUAUGUUCGGCUAAGUCCUAUGUCAGCAGUGUGCAUUUUUUCCAAACGUUGCAUCAAAAGUUCCUUUUAAAAAACUCAUUAACUUCACAAGCUAAAGUCUGAGCUUCUAAUUUAGCUCUCUUAUUUAAAGAAAUAGUUUAAAUGAUCAGUUCAGAAGCUUAAAAUUAUCUUUGAAACUAAAGUUGCUUUUCUCAAAAUGAAUGCGGACUUGGAGCACUGUCACUAUGAGACAGAGGCACUAAUGCCACGAGCAACGAGAAACAGUAUCACCAAAGGAUAAUUACAUGGUACAAAAUGCCCAGGGGCCUGAAACUCACUAUUAAUAUGAUUUUGGCAGCAGCAUCAUUUGAUAUUUAACCAUUUAUUACAUAGUAUUAACACACCAGCUUCAAAGAUGUGCACUCCCUUUAGGACACUCAGGAGUUACAAAUUUAUUGUGAUUGCAUAAUUCGUAUUGCACAGUUUUAUAAAAAACAUAAAUACUGGCUAUUCUAGUUUUAAAUACAAAAUACAUGUCAUAUAGUUUAAAUCUAUAAUCUGGUUCAAGUGCAAAUCAGGUGCUUUCUUUAGUCCUUCCAAAAAAGGCAUUUUUAAUAUUUUUGGCACAAAUGAAAUUUCAUCAUGCCAACAAUUCUAAUUACAAUACAUAUAUCCAAACCUUUAGAAUAGCAAUCAUAUACAUACAGUAUAAAACUGAUUAUUUACAAAUGUACUAAGCAUUACUGUAAUCUUUGUGGGUGAAUCAGAACUAAUUAGCCAUACCCACACUAAUGAUCAUUAAAAAAGGUAAAUAA